CGAAACGUAUGCCUCUUGCACCUGCCACGCACGUGGGUGCGCGUGGCCAGCGAACGGCGCGACGCCCGAGGCUGCUUAUUACUACGCGCGCGGCGCGGAGAGCGACCGAGGAGAGGAGGGAGUAGGCCCUCUCGCGCUGGUGCCGGUGCCGUGCGUGCCUCGGACCUGUUCGUCCACGGCCAUGCAGAUGCAAGCAGCGGGGUCAAGCUAACAUGAGCGACGGCGGGCGUGCGUGCCCGAGGGCAGGAGGGAGGAGGACGUUUGUAGCUCCGGUGGGGUGGGCGUGCCUCCACUUUCGGCGCCGGACGGCGGUGACCUACACUAGCUAGCUGGCGGCCGGAUGGGCGUUCGCGUCGUACGUGGGGGCCUGCCCGUUCAUCUGAGGCGCACCGCGUGUCAGGCAGCCUGCAAUACAGACCGGCUUACUAAUGCUAUGGAAUAAGCUAGACAAUUCGCAGAAUAAUUGAAUAGGAACCCACUUGUCACUGGCCUACUAAAACAAAAUUCCUCA